AAAGGCAGCUGAUCAGGCCUGGAGUUGUGGCCUUGAUCUCUGGAGCUAUGGCAGCUGUGUUGACACAGGGCAGCCGAGAAUGGUGGGGACAAGGAGCUGCCCAGGCCCUGCGGGACUUCACAAACCACUUGGUGUUGCCUCGUUCAGCACCAGGGAGGUGAUCAGACGUGGGAUAGCACACCACGUCCCCCGAGUGAGUUCCACUUCCUGAAUGAAAGAUGUGCAGCUGCCCUCGUCUGUGCACGCUGGGCGCCGUGCCUGCCCUCCUGCCUUUCCAGCAGCUUCCCCCCUGCAGGUCUGCCUCCUCUCCUGCCUCCAUCAACUUCUCCCUCCGCCACCGCCAGGGAAACAUCCCCGCGUACUCCUACAACUCGUCUCCGAAAAUCACGGUCCCGAAAACACAGAGCACAAACUGGACCUAGAUCCCCUCAGCCCAGUGACCAAGAGCCUUUCCUACCUAACCAGCACUUUUCAAAACUGUCAAGUUCAUCCAAAACACAGAAACCCUGAGAAGCCUAAGGAGACGUGACAACCAGAUGCAAUCUAGUGGCCUGGAUUGGGUCCUGGGACAGAGAAAACCAUCAAAGACAUUAGAAGAACUGAAAGUGCCCUGAGGGACGUCACAAGGACAAGCGGGAGGCAGCAGCAGGGAAGGAGGCCUGAACGCUGACCAACUGGAACUGAGAGCUGACCUCAGGUGGCACGUGCAGCAGAGACCACGCUGUGUGAGGCUCACUUCGGCUCACUUCUGCCCUGCUUGGUUCUGACGGGGCAGCGCUGGUCCUUUUCCAGCAGGUAUGGCCUCCUGGCCGCCAAGCAAGGCCAAUGCUGAGAAGGUGUCAGCCCCGGCCAGGGUUUGCCAACUAAAGGAGAGCGGAGUUUGAGUCAGGUGGAAUUGCAGUGGUUGAGCACGUGGCAGCUCUCUGCCCCUACAGACCUGGCCGUGUGGGGCUGGCCUCCUCUGAAGCCGCCUGUGGUGUGGACAUUAAACAGGAAACCAGUGGAAUUUCACCCAGGAUCCUCACCGCCAGAGAUGAAACAUGGGGCGGCAAUGGCUUGCCUGGGUCUCAGGCCUCACAUUUGGGUGCUCUGGGGAAGCCGAGCUCCCUGAACACGCUUCGUGUGCUCCCCUUUGCUGGCCCACUGGACUUGGAAGCCAGAGGAGCUGGGAGCUCCUGCCUAUCCCUGGCCUUCGGAUGGUUAAGGCCAGCCUAGGGGUUUUGCCUGGGGAUAGCAAUGUGGACCAUGCAAGUCCACCCAGGUUGAUGGGGUCCUGCGGUAGCCCCCUUCCAGGCCUAAGACUUGAACUUGCCAGUGUUCUGAAGGACAAGCUGAGAUGUGUCACUCACAGCACAGCUUCAGAAAAGCACUUGGGGAGCUUUCACUCCAAGAUGGU